rnacentral:rRNA from 1 species
AUGCCUCCCCCCGCCUGCUCAGUGCCCAGGAGCUCGGCCGACGACGCCACAAACGCCGACAUGUAUAGCGCGCCGUGCGCCGCGGCCGUGCCCUUGAUCUCCUCGAUCUGGUCGUGCGUUAGCGCGAAGGACGCGAUCAGCGGAGACGGAGGUGGAGGCCCCUGCGCUGUCACUACGCCGACGCCUCGAAGAUCGGCAUGGUGUUGGCCGGCUUUAGGUCGGCGCGGGAGAUCCCAUCGGCGGCAAGCGACGCGCGCGCCGGCAACGCAGCAGCCUGGUCCGAGUAGUGGCGUAGGCGGGUGA